UUAAGUUAGAAAGGGCGCACGGUGGAUGCCUUGGCACUAGGAGCCGAUGAAGGACGGGACGAACACCGAUAUGCUUCGGGGAGCUGUAAGCAAGCUUUGAUCCGGAGAUUUCCGAAUGGGGAAACCCACCACUCGUAAUGGAGUGGUAUCCAUAUCUGAAUACAUAGGAUAUGAGAAGGCAGACCCGGGGAACUGAAACAUCUAAGUACCCGGAGGAAGAGAAAGCAAAUGCGAUUCCCUGAGUAGCGGCGAGCGAAACGGGACCAGCCCAAACCAAGAGGCUUGCCUCUUGGGGUUGUAGGACACUCUGUACGGAGUUACAAAGGAACGAGGUAGAUGAAGAGGUCUGGAAAGGCCCGCCAUAGGAGGUAACAGCCCUGUAGUCAAAACUUCGUUCUCUCCUGAGUGGAUCCUGAGUACGGCGGAACACGUGAAAUUCCGUCGGAAUCCGGGAGGACCAUCUCCCAAGGCUAAAUACUCCCUAGUGACCGAUAGUGAACCAGUACCGUGAGGGAAAGGUGAAAAGCACCCCGGAAGGGGAGUGAAAGAGAUCCUGAAACCGUGUGCCUACAAGUAGUCAGAGCCCGUUAACGGGUGAUGGCGUGCCUUUUGUAGAAUGAACCGGCGAGUUACGAUCCCGUGCAAGGUUAAGCAGAAGAUGCGGAGCCGCAGCGAAAGCGAGUCUGAAUAGGGCGAAUUGAGUACGUGGUCGUAGACCCGAAACCAGGUGAUCUACCCAUGUCCAGGGUGAAGUUCAGGUAACACUGAAUGGAGGCCCGAACCCACGCACGUUGAAAAGUGCGGGGAUGAGGUGUGGGUAGGGGUGAAAUGCCAAUCGAACCUGGAGAUAGCUGGUUCUCUCCGAAAUAGCUUUAGGGCUAGCCUCAAGGUAAGAGUCUCGGAGGUAGAGCACUGAUUGGACUAGGGGCCCCUACCGGGUUACCGAAUUCAGUCAAACUCCGAAUGCCGAUGACUUAUCCUUGGGAGUCAGACUGCGAGUGAUAAGAUCCGUAGUCGAAAGGGAAACAGCCCAGACCGCCAGCUAAGGUCCCAAAGUAUACGUUAAGUGGAAAAGGAUGUGGAGUUGCUUAGACAACCAGGAUGUUGGCUUAGAAGCAGCCACCAUUUAAAGAGUGCGUAAUAGCUCACUGGUCGAGUGACUCUGCGCCGAAAAUGUACCGGGGCUAAACGUAUCACCGAAGCUGCGGACUGUUCUUCGAACAGUGGUAGGAGAGCGUUCUAAGGGCUGUGAAGCAAGACCGGAAGGACUUGUGGAGCGCUUAGAAGUGAGAAUGCCGGUAUGAGUAGCGAAAGAGGGGUGAGAAUCCCCUCCACCGAAUGCCUAAGGUUUCCUGAGGAAGGCUCGUCCGCUCAGGGUUAGUCGGGACCUAAGCCGAGGCCGAAAGGCGUAGGCGAUGGAUAACAGGUUGAUAUUCCUGUACCACCUCCUCACCAUUUGAGCAAUGGGGGGACGCAGGAGGAUAGGGUAAGCGCGGUAUUGGAUAUCCGCGUCCAAGCAGUUAGGCUGGGAAAUAGGCAAAUCCGUUUCCCGUGAAGGCUGAGCUGUGAUGGCGAGCGAAUUAUAGUAGCGAAGUUCCUGAUUCCACACUGCCAAGAAAAGCCUCUAGCGAGGUGAGAGGUGCCCGUACCGCAAACCGACACAGGUAGGCGAGGAGAGAAUCCUAAGGUGAUCGAGAGAACUCUCGUUAAGGAACUCGGCAAAAUGACCCCGUAACUUCGGGAGAAGGGGUGCUCUGUUAGGGUGCAAGCCCGAGAGAGCCGCAGUGAAUAGGCCCAGGCGACUGUUUAGCAAAAACACAGGUCUCUGCGAAGCCGUAAGGCGAAGUAUAGGGGCUGACGCCUGCCCGGUGCUGGAAGGUUAAGAGGAGCGCUUAGCGUAAGCGAAGGUGCGAAUUGAAGCCCCAGUAAACGGCGGCCGUAACUAUAACGGUCCUAAGGUAGCGAAAUUCCUUGUCGGGUAAGUUCCGACCCGCACGAAAGGCGCAACGAUCUGGGCACUGUCUCAACGAGAGACUCGGUGAAAUUAUAGUACCUGUGAAGAUGCAGGUUACCCGCGACAGGACGGAAAGACCCCGUGGAGCUUUACUGCAGCCUGAUAUUGAAUGUUGGUACAGCUUGUACAGGAUAGGUAGGAGCCUUGGAAACCGGAGCGCCAGCUUCGGUGGAGGCAUCGGUGGGAUACUACCCUGGCUGUAUUGACCUUCUAACCCGCCGCCCUUAUCGGGCGGGGAGACAGUGUCAGGUGGGCAGUUUGACUGGGGCGGUCGCCUCCUAAAAGGUAACGGAGGCGCCCAAAGGUUCCCUCAGAAUGGUUGGAAAUCAUUCGCAGAGUGUAAAGGCACAAGGGAGCUUGACUGCGAGACCUACAAGUCGAGCAGGGACGAAAGUCGGGCUUAGUGAUCCGGUGGUUCCGCAUGGAAGGGCCAUCGCUCAACGGAUAAAAGCUACCCCGGGGAUAACAGGCUUAUCUCCCCCAAGAGUCCACAUCGACGGGGAGGUUUGGCACCUCGAUGUCGGCUCAUCGCAUCCUGGGGCUGUAGUCGGUCCCAAGGGUUGGGCUGUUCGCCCAUUAAAGCGGUACGCGAGCUGGGUUCAGAACGUCGUGAGACAGUUCGGUCCCUAUCCGUCGCGGGCGCAGGAAAUUUGAGAGGAGCUGUCCUUAGUACGAGAGGACCGGGAUGGACGCACCGCUGGUGUACCAGUUGUUCUGCCAAGGGCAUCGCUGGGUAGCUAUGUGCGGACGGGAUAAGUGCUGAAAGCAUCUAAGCAUGAAGCCCCCCUCAAGAUGAGAUUUCCCAUUCCGCAAGGAAGUAAGAUCCCUGAAAGAUGAUCAGGUUGAUAGGUCUGAGGUGGAGGUGUGGCGACACAUGGAGCUGACAGAUACUAAUCGAUCGAGGACUUAACCUA
rnacentral:rRNA from 1 species